rnacentral:rRNA from 1 species
GAUGAACGCUGGCGGCGUGCCUAAUACAUGCAGGUCGAGCGAACAGAUGAGGAGCUUGCUCCUCUGACGUUAGCGGCGGACGGGUGAGUAACACGUGGAUAACCUACCUAUAAGACUGGGAUAACUUCGGGAAACCGGAGCUAAUACCGGAUAAUAUAUUGAACCGCAUGGUUCAAUAGUGAAAGACGGUUUUGCUGUCACUUAUAGAUGGAUCCGCGCCGCAUUAGCUAGUUGGUAAGGUAACGGCUUACCAAGGCAACGAUGCGUAGCCGACCUGAGAGGGUGAUCGGCCACACUGGAACUGAGACACGGUCCAGACUCCUACGGGAGGCAGCGGUAGGGAAUCUUCCGCAAUGGGCGAAAGCCUGACGGAGCAACGCCGCGUGAGUGAUGAAGGUCUUCGGAUCGUAAAACUCUGUUAUUAGGGAAGAACAAAUGUGUAAGUAACUAUGCACGUCUUGACGGUACCUAAUCAGAAAGCCACGGCUAACUACGUG